AUUGAACGCUGGCGGCAGGCCUAACACAUGCAAGUCGAACGAGUGGCGGACGGGUGAGUAAUGUCUGGGAAACUGCCUGAUGGAGGGGGAUAACUACUGGAAACGGUAGCUAAUACCGCAUACCAUCGGAUGUGCCCAGAUGGGAUUAGCUAGUAGGUGGGGUAAAGGCUCACCUAGGCGACGAUCCCUAGCUGGUCUGAGAGGAUGACCGGUCACAUAGGAACUAAGACACGGACCAGACUCCUACGGCAGGGAGCAGUGGGGUAUAUUGCAGAAUGGGCGCAAGCCUGAUGCAUACAUGCGGCGUGGAUGAAGAGGGCCUUGGGGUUGUAAAGUACAUUCAGCAAGGAGGCGUUACCCGCAGAAGAAGCACCGGCUAACUCCGUGCCAGCAGCCGCGGUAAUAC
rnacentral:rRNA from 1 species